AUACGUAGGGUGCAAGCGUUAAUCGGAAUUACUGGGCGUAAAGCGUGCGCGGGCGGUUUUGUAAGACAGUGGUGAAAUCCCCGGGCUCAACCUGGGAACUGCCAUUGUGACUGCAAGGCUGGAGUGCGGCAGAGGGGGAUGGAAUUCCGCGUGUAGCAGUGAAAUGCGUAGAUAUGCGGAGGAACACCGAUGGCGAAGGCAAUCCCCUGGGCCUGCACUGACGCUCAUGCACGAAAGCGUGGGGAGCAAACAGGAUUAGAUACCCUGGUAGUCCACGCCCUAAACGAUGUCAACUGGUUGUUGGGUCUUCAUUGACUCAGUAACGAAGCUAACGCGUGAAGUUGACCGCCUGGGGAGUACGGCCGCAAGGUUGAAACUCAAAUGAAUUGGCGGGG
rnacentral:rRNA from 1 species